rnacentral:lncRNA from 1 species
GAUGUCUUUCCCCCCUUAACCCUCAUAUCAUGUAGGAGAAAUCUGCAAUGAGGCAUGGCCCUAACACACUGAGGAUAAUUGUGACCAAUGGGAACAUUUCCAGAAAUUUUGUAAGAGGCCAAGUCUGUAGAAGAUAACUGGGAAGUCGAUUGCCUGAGAAAUUGGAGUGAAGGAGCUUUCUUAAAGAAAUACAAUCGGAUAAAAGUUAAAGAACUUCUUAUUAUGCUCCCAGUUAAACAGCUUCCGCACACCUUGGAUAGCUUUGCACCUUAUAGCACUCAGGUGUUAUGCUUUUAAUUAAAUGUGGUGUUUGCUGUCAUUUCUGUAAGUCAUCAAGCAGUAGACCCUUGGACCGACACAGAAUCCCAUUAAAGCCUUGCUUCAAUGGGAAAAUCAGAUUAUCCUCACCUCCUUUUGAACUACAAUGCCUUUCCCAGGAAUAUAAUUCAUGGUAAAUAUAAGGUCAUCUUGUACAUUUGGUGAUAGCUGCUCCUUCCUCUUCAGUGGUUAAGGUUGAAAUGCUGGGCUUGGUUCUUGGGGAGUGACUGCCCACGCCUACUGUUGGAAGUUCCUCCGUUAGUCAGGUUGCCCUGGCCACUCUGAGAAGAUAGUGCUGGAAAAACUGCAGUCUUUCUCAUCUUACCUCCCCGACGUCUGAUCCUAGACUGACCUCUCAGAAAAGUGUUUGACCAACACUGUUCCAGCAGGUUUCCAUCUGCAUGAUAGCCUGGAGAUGUCUGGUAAGCACAAGCUGAGCGCACACCUUCUGGGGACUGAUGAGAUCUAGAAUAACCAAGAGAACGUAGACCUGCAUUUUCACUGAUUCCAUUGAACAGGCAUGGCCCCAACACUCCGCUUCUGUCUGAUACUCAUAAGGCACGCUCCAUUCUGAAGUUACAUUAGAUGGCCAGACCAUUUAUAAAGUUGCUGUCUACUUCCUCUGGGGUAUAUUCAGUUAAAGAUAUUGAACUUCUCUC